UACAGAGGGUGCGAGCGUUGUCCGGAAUCACUGGGCGUAAAGGGCGCGUAGGUGGCGACCCAAGUCGAUGGUGAAAGCUCGCCGCUCAACGGCGAGUCGGCCACCGAUACUGGGUUGCUGGAGCACUGUAGAGGCUCAUGGAAUUCCGGGUGUAGCGGUGGAAUGCGUAGAGAUCCGGAAGAACGACCGGUGGCGAAGGCGGUGAGCUGGGCAGUUGC
rnacentral:rRNA from 1 species